AUUGAACGCUGGCGGCAUGCCUUACACAUGCAAGUCGAACGGUAACAGGUCUUCGGAUGCUGACGAGUGGCGAACGGGUGAGUAAUACAUCGGAACGUGCCUAGUAGUGGGGGAUAACUACUCGAAAGAGUGGCUAAUACCGCAUGAGAUCUACGGAUGAAAGCAGGGGAUCGCAAGACCUUGUGCUACUAGAGCGGCCGAUGGCAGAUUAGGUAGUUGGUGGGAUAAAAGCUUACCAAGCCGACGAUCUGUAGCUGUCUGAGAGGACGAUCAGCCAAACUGGGACUGAGACACGGCCCAGACUCCUACGGGAGGCAGCAGUGGGGAAUUUUGGACAAUGGGCGCAAGUCUGAUCCAGCAAUGCCGCGUGCAGGAUGAAGGCCUUCGGGUUGUAAACUGCUUUUGUACGGAACGAAAGGCCCUGGGUUAAUACCCUGGGGUCAUGACGGUACCGUAAGAAUAAGCACCGGCUAACUACGUGCCAGCAGCCGCCGUAAGAC
rnacentral:rRNA from 1 species